CCAUAAAGUGGCCUUCUAGAAAGAGUAGCAUAAUCUUCAGUAAAAGAAUAUGCUUGACAAAGAAGUGCAGACUGACAGGAACUUGAUGUAGAUGUCUCCUGAGAGACACAGGCGAAAUACAGCAAAUACACAGGCAAAUGCCAGCAGCAAACCACUAAACUGAGAACGAGAAUCCCGUUGAAGGAAUGAGAGACAGGAUUGGAAAGGCUUGAAGGGGCUUGAGACCCCAUAUGAACAACAAUGCCAAGGAACCAGAGCUUCCAGGGACUAAGCCACUACCUAAAGACUAUACGUGGACUGAUCCUGGGCUCCCACCUCAUAGGGAGCAAUGAAUAACCUUGUAUGAGCACCAGUGGAAGGGCAAACCGUUGGUCCUACUAACACUGAAACCCCAGUGAACGUGAUUGUUGGGGGGAGUGCGGUAAUGGGGGGAGGAUAGGGAUGGAAACACCCAUAUACAAAGGGGUUUAGGGGUAAGAAAGCAGGGUUAGGGGAAUGUUGGCCAGUAAACCGGGAAAGGGAAUAACAAUUGAAAUGUAAAUAAGAAAUGCUCAAGAUAAUAAAGAAAAAAAAUCUGCUUUUAAACAAAAUUUGGAGGAAAUACCCCGACAUGUCUACAUUAUAACUGUGUACUGUGUCAUUGUUUUCUUGUUUUCUGUGGUCACACUUGUGGCCUUUGAAGCCGAGCUGCAUCCCGUGGAUCUGUAAAUAAGCUAAGACAGACUUUCAACUCGGUCACAUGAAGCAUGUGAAAGGCGUGACAAGACAGUUGCAGUCAUUGUCACACUGCCAUCCCAAUGGAUACAUGUAACUGUUGAAAAAUCACAGAGUGGGAUGCUCAAGUCUGAACUUUAACACCCAGCUAGGAAAAGUAUAACCUAUCAGUUCACUUCCUGAGUAUCAUCCACAAGCAAAGGGUAGGCUCAGAUGAAGUAUUGUUGAAGAAAUUUGCUCUUCCUUGUGAGCAGCAUCUGAGGGUAUGUGGAAGACCAUUCAGCCUCCUGUGACACGGGAGACCAGAGUAAUGAGAAGCAGACAGAGGGGACAAUUCUGUGUUGUUUUUUUCUGGACCACCAUAACUACAUUUUCCAGUCUAUGGAUUUGCUCAUUGAAAUCGUGUGUCUCACACUGGCAAAGGCCAAGCUGUAUGAAGCCUCAAUAUCAAAACUGGAUCCAAGGUCCUUUCUUAGUUACUGGGAUUUACAGGCAGUCUACCAUACCUUGUCUUCUAGAUUCACAAAUUCUUUUCUGGCUUCAUGUACUUAAGGCAUAUUCUUUCAUUCUCUCUAUGUGUCUCUCUCUCUCUGCCUCUCUGUCAUAUUUUUUUCCUCUAUCCUACAACAGUCUUUACUAAUGUUAAUGUAUUUCUUGCCAGUUUAUGCCCUUCCUUAUCUCAUAAACCCCAGGGUGAUCUGAACUUGGAGUCCUCUGGAGAACCACAAUUAGAAAUAGAGUUGACAUCCAAAUCUACUAGACAAGAACAACUGUGAAGAUGCAGAAUAUUCAACAACCCCCAACAAGCAUAGAGCCCAAUAUGCAUGUAUAAAAAGAAAAUUUUUAGAUAUUCAAGAAAUGCAUGGCAGGCUUCUCUUUGCUGAGACUGCCAGCAUCAUGACAAAGGUUACAUGGGGCUUUAAUAAACAUGUAUAGUUUAAUAAUACCUAGACUCUACCCUACUUUACCAUUCCCUGUCUGUAUGUUUCUAAUAGAUGCUUUCCAGAAAUGUAGUAGUGACACCCUUUCAAGAGUAUAGACGUUGUCACAUGUGGCACCCAACAGAAGAAUUUGACUUUUAUUCUAUGGGUGAAGCUCCUUAUGAUUGAUCUACAACAUACUUGUCCCCUUGACUGAUGCUUUGUUUUGGUGUGUGUGUGUGUGUGUGAGUGUGUGGGUGUGUGUCUGUGUCUGUGUCUGUGUCUGUCUGUCUGUCUGUCUUUGUCUCUGUCUGUCUCUUUCCUCCGCAGGAUACCUCUCCAUAGUACAGCAUGACUUCUUAAUUGCAUUCCAAGGUUGACUCAUCAUGCUUCCUCUGUUUUGAGGUCUCAAAUUGCACCUAUGUUAAGCAAUGCACCUGUAGCCUGAUCUGUGAACUGCUGCUCACAUCAUAAAGAACCCCAUGACUAAACAUGUUAUUUUUGAGGCUCUGAACAAUGUUUUUGUCUGAAUUUACAUAAUUAUUCCAAUUUUUUUACUCCCUCAACUAAACUGUUCUUCUCUGUGGAUCUUUCCAAAGUCUUUGCUUACUUGUAUUUAUCUAUGUACCAGCUCUACAAGGAAGGCAUAAUCCCAACUCUCCAGCAUUAGUUAGGAGGAGCAAUGGAUGAGGCAAUUGGAUAAAAUGAUCAUUUAGCUAAAGAAGAUGUCCGCUUAGAGUGAUUAACUGUUUAGAAUCGUUGCAUAAAUGACAAUCAUACUGACCUAAGUUCUCAACUUCCUUUCUUCAUUGUCAUUUUCAGUGUGCAUAGUAAGGUCGGGAUGAACAAUUUCUGAGCUUUGUUUGCAAGUUUAGGCUUAAGUAUCUGUACAUGAAGGUAGGAAAAAAUUCAAUUAAUCAGUCAUAUCUCCAUUUUAGAAGGUAGAGUGAUGGAAAGUCUUCCCUUGUGUCUCAGCAAAGGUACUGGAAAGGCCAACUUGGCUUGUUGAUUUGGAGAAUAUCUGGUUAAUGGAUAGUUAUGUACUGUUGAAGGGGACACUCCUCUGGUACACUAUUGCAUGCCUGGAAUUCCAUGGUAUUCUUUGUGAUGUCACUAGUGUUAUGGAAACAGAAGCUGCCCUUGUGGUAUUUUGUUAAUGCUUAUUGUUUUAGACACAGACAUGUUUUCUAGGAUUAUCGAGUUAUUUACAGGAAAAACAGAGUGCAUGGAGAGAUGAGAGAGAAAAAAAUGAUAUUAGGACUUCUUUCUUGUUAUAAAUAUGCAAAUAAAUAAUCUGGUGUAAAGCAGAGAGAGUAAGCCCUGAGCCACUGCUGGGGAACUUCCUGGAGAAGCUGUGCUUGGGUCAGACCAUCUAGGAGCAGGACUUAUGGUCUGAAACAUCUGGACUUUUAAAGAAGGGACCAAGCGUCAAGAAUAUCUGAUGAAUAUUUGGCAGACAGCCAGAAAUUGACAAGCAUGCAGUUAGUUUGCUAUGAGUUCCUUAAUUUCACUCUGAAUGAGAAAGAUAUCCAAUAGGAGCCACACAGAUAAAUCUUCGACUCUCAGGGUAGAGUAUAGGACUUCAUCUACAGACGAUUAUUGUACAUUCAUUGACAUGUUGUGACAAGGAGAGAGAGAGGGAUACUCCCCUGGAAAUGUAUCAAGAUUUCAGACUCAUUUUUCUUGAACAUACAUGAUUAGGGCUUGGUGGUCCUAAGAACUAUGGACUACAGAACUUACCUGCAUAUGUCUAGCAAUCAUCGUUGGAGGCAGGAGAGUAGCUAAUAGGUCCAACUUGAAAAGAGCUUUCUUACUCUCUCAGUGCUUCAAAGUGUCUGUAGAUUUCCCCUUUCCUCAUGCUUUGUUGGGGGACUCAGAAUGGUCUCUCCUGUGACUGGGCCAUUAAUAUGCAUGUUCCCUUGUGUUUAUCUACAGGGUCUGCUGGGAAGGCAUCAUGCCAACCUUCCACCAUCAAUGAGCAAGUUCAGCAGAUUAAGAAGUAGGAGAAACUGACUAUUGAGCUCAAGAAGAAAACCUAAAAGCAGAAGCUGUGUUUGAAUAACAGACGAGAUAUGGCAAGCAGUGUGUGAGCUCUCAUCCUGGAUUUUAAUAGAGAGAGAUGCAUUUUCUGUCCUCAGAGGAACACAGAAAGGUGGUCAGCUACAGAAGCACAGUAACUUAAACUUAGAUAACUAUGGAGAUUUUCUUGUUGACUGGGCUCAUAGAUUCAGACCUGAAGUCAGGGAUAAUAUGGACAAUGGAGAUCCAUUUGAAAGAAGCUGCUUAACUUGGAGGAACAGGGAAACAGUGAGCAAGAGUAAGAUGUUUGUCCACCAGGUGAUCCCUUGCUGAGAACAAAGUCUCCUCUUCACAGCCUGAAAACUGGGCAGGCUGGAAGCCAAUAGCAAUGUACAUGAAGAAAGUACAUCAGUAGUGAGAAAGAAAAUUGCUGCACUUCUUCAAUAAUCAUUUCCUUAGAUUUUUAGGUGCUGAGGACAAAGAGAAGACACACAGAAGGACUGAGACAGAAGGUCUGAACUGGAAGGACAGAGACAGAUGGACAGAGCUGGAGAGGGGAUGACCUGAAAAGCCCGGUUUGAGAUAAGGAGAACAAAGGCCAUUUAGUAAACCCUAGAGGUAAUGAAUGAAUAUCUGAGAGGCAGUUGCUUUCACGACAACACCUGUAACAUCACAGAAGAAGCUAGAGCCCUCCAGGAUACAAGAGAUUUUUCCAGGAGGUCCUAAUGAUGAUGUCACUGAGACCUGCCAUGGCUUACCUGCAAAACAUCUUGAGCAGGACCAUUUUCUUCUUGACAAAAAGAAUAAGGCUAUGAGAUCUCAGCAAAACAACUGUGCCCUGCCCAUCACUUGGCUUUGGAAUAAAAAAAAAAUAAUGAUAUAAACUCUUUGACUUCCAGGAAUGAUAUGAACAGGAACUGUAAGAGCAGGAAGUCCACAUGCUUCUGAGAGGACCCCAGCUCCUAAUUCCCAUUUGUAGACGGCUCAGAUCAAGACAAUCUCUUCAUGAAACUACUCAACACCUACUAAGGACUCAGAGAGCUUUCCCAAGGACCUUUUUUGUACCAAGACAGAAGGUCAGCUUUCUUCUCCCCAUCUCUGAUAUCUUCAUCCUAUUUGUCCUCCCUCCCAAAUGGCUCUUUACACUGAAUUAUAGGCCAAUUAGUAAACCAUAGAUAUAUGGAAUGAAUAUCUGAGAGGCAGUUGCUGUCAGGACAACACUUGUGACAACACAGAAGAAGAUAGGGCUCUCAAGGAUACAAGAGAUAUAUUACGGGGGUACUAAGGAUGAUGUCACUGAGAACUGCCAUGGACUACCUGCUAAACAGAUUUCCUUACAUUGACCAGAUUUGACGGUGCCCUUUCUAGGAGAGUCUCCUAUGACACAGUGGAAAUCUUUUGUACUCCAUCUCUCUAACGCUAGAGACUUCUCUUUGCUGCAUUAGUGUUUACAUGGUCUUAAUGGACAAAAUUAAUCGGGACUUGGCAUGGGUAGAAAAGAUCUAGGAAGAUGGAGUGGAGGAGAUUCUUCUUGAUAAUAAUUUUGCUCCCUGGGCCAUUCCUGUGACAUACAGUUCAAUUUCCUAGUUUUUCUCUGUUUCCCAAAGGCCAUUAUUUUCCAUACAGACCUUUAAUUGAGUGAAUAUUGUAUUUCAUUUUCUAAUUCUUCAUUCCUAGAUAGGGCACUUUGUAUUCAUUCCUGAAAGUGUACUCAAAAAUUCUCCUUUACAAUUGCAUUUUUGUAAUGAUUUUGGCAAAAAAGAGGGCCGAAGUAUAGAGUGCAGAGAACAGUGUAAAUAUUUUGUACCUACUUCAAAUGAUAAACUCCAAAUUCUUAUUUUAUCCAAAAAUUAUCAUACAUCAGUAAAUCAAAGACAACAUGUACUAUACAAUUCGUUUCUCUAUUCCCAUUUGAUAUCAUUUCUGCAAUAUCUUCCUUCUUGUGUUCCCAUGGCCACACUUGAGGUUUUUGGAUAUUUUACAAUGAUUCUUUUUUCAGGCCAAACAUAAGACUUAGGUGGAUGGGCAGGGAAAGAAAUGUUUUGAGUUCAACUGAAACCUCAAUUUCAAUAAGUUCAUAAGGACAGGAGGGACCUUUGCAUCUGUAGAUUCUACAUUCUUGUUCUAGAUGCGCAGAAUCAAUGGUAAAUUCCAUCUAACCUCACAUAGGAGCCAAUAUAUAUAUGAUAGAUAGAUAGAUAGAUAGAUAGAUAGAUAGAUAGAUAGAUAGAUAGAUAGACAGAUAGAUAGAUCUGCCACCAAAAUAAGAUAAGAUUGUUGAAGUUAAGAAGUGCAUUCUGCCAGGAAGAGGAUAUAGACAUUUCCUGAGAAACACAGCUAGAAUAUGUCAAUUACAUAAGUGAAUGCUUGUGGCAAACCAGUUACUUGUAAAUGGAACUCUUGUUGAUAACUUUUGAGAAAGGAUUACAAGAGGUAAAGGGGUUUGCAAACCCAUAAGAAAAGCAAUGUCAAUGAACCAGAGCUUUCUAGUACUAGACCAAUAUUCAACGAAUGUACAUGGACAUACCUAUGGCUCCCACUGCAUAUUUAGUACCAGAUGGCCUUCUUGGGAACCAACAGAAGUAGAAGCUCUUGGUCCUCCCUAUAUUUGAUUCACAGUUCAUGGGAAUGCAAAGGGGUAGUAAGGGGAUUAUAGUAGAAUGGGAGGUGGACUGGUUAGGGAUCUUAGAGACAGGAAAUUGGAAAAGGAAUAACAUUUGUAAUGUAAAUAUAGAAAUAUCAAAUUUAAAAAAGCUAUAUAUUUUGCUAAAAAAGAAAAAAAGGAAAGAAAUAAAAGAAAAGAAAACUGCCAAUUAAUUACACCCUUUGACUCAGAAAUCUAAAGGGUCACUGUCAGGGAAUGGUAGUCAGAGUAAUACUAGUUCAAAGACGAAGAUGGUGAAAUCUCAAAUAGAAGCAAUUUUCUCUCCCAGAUAUCAGUGUCAGACACAAUCUGCACUCUAGGAAUCCAAAGCACAGAGUAAUUUACUCUGAGCUGAGGACACAAUACUUGUCUUUCCCUUCUUCCUUAGGACCAAAACCAUCAGCUUUAAAGAAAACUGUGCCCUUUCCAACACUUGGCUUUGGAAAAAAGACAUGAAUGAUAUAAAUUCUCCGACUUCCAGGAACCAUAACUAGCAGGGAAGUCCAGAUGCAUCUGAGAGGCUCCCAUCUCCUGAUUACCAUAUUUGGAAGGCUCCAAUCAAUACUAUCUUUUCAGCAAACCUUCUCAACCACUACCCAGAAAUGACUGAGAUUUCCCAUGGACCACAUAUUUCUUUUUUUUUAUAACAAAGCAGAAGGCCAGCUUCCUUCUUCCCAUCUUUGAUCACUUCAUCCUCUUUUUUCUCCUUCCCAAAGGCUGUUUAUGCUGAAUUAGAGGCCAAAUAGUAAACCCUAGAGGUACUGAAGGACUACUGGAGAGGCAACUUCUGUCAGGACAACACUUGUUACAUCACAGAAGAAACUAGGGAUCUCCAGGAUACAACAGAUUUUUUUAGAUAGGCCUAAUGGUGAUGUCACUGAGAAUUGCCAUGGCCUACCUGCUAAAGUGUUUUCCUUUCAAUGACCAGAUUCGAGGGUGCCCUUGCAAGGGCCAGACGUGAAGGUUUUCGAGGUUUUACCAUGGUUGUUACUUCAGGACAAACAUAAAAUUCAGGAGGAUGUGCAGGGAGAUGAAUGGCUUGAUGUCCAGGGAAACUUCAACUUCAAUAGGUUCAUAAGAACAAGAGGGAGGUGUUUGGAAUUGCCAUUUGUGGAUUCUACAUUCUUGACCUAGGUGUACAUAAUCCAUGUGAAAAUUCCACCUAACCUCAUAGCUGUAGGAGCCACCAAAUGUAUAGUUGGAACCAGAUGUACAUCUUUCCUGAGAGACACAGCUUGAGCAAGUCAAAUACAGAAGAGAAUGCUACUGGCAAACCAGUGAACCAAAAAUGGAUCUCUUGUUGGUAGUUUUUGAGAAAGAAUUACAAGAGCUUAAGGGGAUUUCAAUUCCAUAAGAACAACAAUGCCAGUGAACCAGAGCUUUCUGGUACUAAACCAAUAUUCAAAGACUGUACUUGGACAGACCUAUGUGUCCAACUGCAUAUGUAGCAGUGGAUGGCCUUGUUGGGAACCAAUGGAAGGAGAAGUUCCUGGUCCAACCUAGGUUUAACUCUCAGUUCAAGGUAAUAUCAAGGUUCACUAAGGUAGGUUAUAGAAGAAUGUUAGGUGGACUAGUUACGGGUCUUAUGGACAUGAAACUGGGAAAGAAAAUCAAAUUUGAAAUUCAAAUAUAGAAAUAUCCAAAUAAAAAAAGCAAUAAAAUUUGCUAAAAAUUAAAAAAAAAAUGAAAUAAAUUAAAGAAAAGACAUCUGUCAGCUAAUUACACAUAUUGACUCAGAAAUCUAAAGGGUAACUAUCAGCAAAUGGUAAUCAGAGUAAUACUAGUGGAAAGACUGAGAUGAUGAAGUCUCAACUAGAAGCUCUUCUCUCCCAAAUAUCAGUGUCAGACACAAACUGCACUAUAGGUGUCCAAAGCAUGGAGGCGUUUACACUGAGCUGAGGAGACAAUACUUGUCUAUCCUUUGUUUCUUCGGACCUUUUUCUUCAGGGCAAAAAGAGUGAAAGCCAUGAGCUCUCACUAGAACAACUGUGCCCUUCCCAACAACUGACUUUUGGAAUGAAGAAAAUGAUUAUAUAAACUCUCUAAAUUCCAGAAACCAUAUCAAGCAGGGAAGUCCAGAUGAUAAUGAGAGAAUCCCAGCUCUGGAUUCCCAUGUGUGUAAGGCUCAGAUCAAGGCUAUCUCUUCAGAUACAACACUCAACGCCUACCCAAGACUCACUGAGCUUUCCCAUGGACCAUUUAUUUCUUCCUUUUUUAUACAAAGACAGAAGGCCAGCUUCCUUCUCUUUUAUCUCCCUAACAAAUGGCUGUUUAGCCAGAAUAAGAGGUCAAUGAGUUAACCCUAGAGGUCCUCAAAGAAUAUCCAAGAGGCAGUUGCUGUCACCAUGACACUUGUGACAUCACAGAAAAGCUAGAGCUCUUCAGGAUACAAGAGAUAUUUCAGGGAGGACCUAAUGAUGAUGUCACUGAGAACUGCCAUGAUCUAACUGUUGAACAGCUUUCUUUACAUUGACCAGAUUUGAGGGUUCCCUUUCCAAGAGUGUCUCUUGUGACACACUGGAAACCUUUAAAUACUAUAUAUCUCUAAUGCUGGAGACUUCUCUUUGCUUCAUUCGUACGUACAUGUUCGGAAUAGAGAAUGUUGGUCAGGGGCUUGGCAUGGCUAUAAAGAUCUAGGAACAUGGGGUGGAGGAGAUUAUUCUGGAUAAUAAUUCCACUCCCAGUUCCAUUCCUGUGACAUACAGUUCAAGUUCCUAGGUUUUGUCUGUUUCCCAAAGUCCAAUAUUUUCCUUCCAGACAUUUAGGUGAAUGAAUAUUGUAUUACAUUUCCUUAUUGUAUAUUCUUUGAAAGGAGACUUUAUAUAUAUUACUGAAUGUGUACUCAUAUAUUCUGUUUUCCAAUUUUAAUUUUUGCAAUGAUAUUGGCAACAAAGUUGGCCCAGCUAAAGCAUGAAUAUAACAGUAUAAAUAUUGUAUACCUACUUCAAAUGAUAAUCUCUCAAAUCCUUAAUUUAAGCAAAAAUUACCAGCCAUCAGUAAAGCAAAGGACAAUAUGGACCCUAGAAUGCGGUUCAGAUUUUCUUUUAGGCUUGAAAAAUUUUGCGAAGAAGGUUUUGUGGGUGUAUUUGUGUCUUUAUCCCUCCAUUGCUGGUCUUUCCAGGCUAUGGGAGUUGGCCUCUUAAUGUUUCAUAUCACCAAUGUAAUUCAAGCUUAGGUCACCCCAUUGAUUCCUGGGUACCUCCAUUAUACCAGGUCUCUUUCUCUUCCUGGAGGUUUCUCCCACCUCCUCAUCUCUUUAAGUUCAAGAUUUCCUUUUUUUCUCAUGACUAUCAGGUCCUAUCUCCUGUCCCUUCACACACAGGAUCCAUUCUCCUCUUCCUUCCAUCUCUCAUCUAGUUCCUUUCCUCAAUCGGCCUCCUAGACUAUUUUAUUCCCCAUUCUAAGUGAGAGUCAAUCUUAUGCACUUUGGCCAUUCUUCUUGUUUAUCUUCUUUGUACCUUUAAGCUUUGUGGAGGAUGUCCUGUAGUUUAUGGAUAAUAUUACUUAUAAUUGAGCAAUUUCAACAACCCUCUUGAUCAUAUUUUAGAGUAGUAUGUUAAAAUUGAAAAUUAUAAUUUAGUAUGAGUGAAUGUCAUGAGGACCAAAUUUAGGUAAAAAGAAACUUAAAACAAGAUCAAAUCACAGAUUUUAAAAAUUGACCUAAUAAUAAAAAUUCUCUACUAUCAUAAGGAAUUAUUAUAUCACAGGCAAUUUUUAAGUGGUACCAUAAAUUUGGCAGACAAAUGAUGUUUUUAACAAGUAAUUAUGGAUAAUAUGACUAAGAUCAAAUAAGAUAAAUAUAUUGUUUUCAUUCUGAUAUCACUUCCUGGCAUUUUUCCUCAAACAUGAUGUUUAUAGCAUUGAACAUUAUGGUAUUAGUUUUAAAUUUUAAUAUUUAUUAUAACCUAACCUAUAAAGUAACAGGUUGCCAUAUGUUAUGUUUGUAGACAAUCACCCUCAUCCUUGCUUCCUCAGUUCUUUGUUUCCGCCUGCCCUAUGUCCCUCACCACUUAUACUAGUCUCUCUUCAUUAUUCUUACUUCUAGAUUCAUAUCCCACAUGCUCAAUAUCUUCCAUACCACACUGUUUAAAACCCUACUCUCUAAUCUCUCUAAUCUCUGUGACGUAUACCAGUUAAAUGAACUCAAACCACCCACAGCUUCACAUAAAUACAAGUAUAUUAAAAGGAGAUUCUUUGAUCUCUUUGAAAAAGAACACAUGGUAUUUGCCUUUCUAAGUCUUUGUUACCUUACUCGGUUUAGUUUUCCUAGGGAGAAUGAAGUACCAUUGUCUAUAUUGUCACAUUCUUAUAUAUCUAUGUAUCAAUGAAUAUUCAUUAUGAUUCUCAAUAAAAGAGCAAUAGAUUUAUUUUUGAAAAACGAUGAGAAAGCUCAGAUAGAAAAGUCAAGAAACUAAGAAACUAAGAAACUAAGAAAAUUUCAAAGAUAAAUAUGACGAACAUAUUUGUGUUUAUAUUAACUGGAGCAGUGUGUGUUAAAGUUAAUAAAGGAUGUGGUAUUUAUAAUAUUUUUAUACUAAUAAAAUGUAGAAUAUUCAAUAAUUUAGAGAAUACUUAUAAAAUUGUUCAUCACUAAGUUAUAU